GUGCAGACAGUUAUUGCUUGACAUUUGUGCAUGCAUAUCAAGGUAUCUAGAGUCAUGUCUUCGGUGUCUCUUUGUAUGUGGUGACUAUUUGGAUGCAUACUCAGAGAUCAACCCUGUUUUUUCCCCCUGUGUAUGCAGCGGGGAAUAGGACUGCUCUUUGUCGCGGGCUCCGUUGGUCGUGGGCCUGGAAUAGAGCUUUCAAUUACCCAGGGCCUGUCUGUGUCCUUAUUUGUGUCAGGGAGAUUCAUUUUGUGUGUGUGGUCUGUGUGUAGUUUUAAGGUCUGUUCGGCUUAGGUGUGCGAGUUGUAGGUCUCCCUUGGGUUGCGGUGUGUGUUCCCCUGACUGUCAGGCAUUGGUUGUAGGUCCUUAGUGUAUGUGCCAAGUGUAAUCUCGGGGCUUGUAUGUCUCUGAGUGUGUAGGUGCCUUCGGGGCCUCGGGGGUGUAUUGCCAGGUCUCCCUGCCUCUUGGUCCUGUUUGUUCCUCAUGUAUGUGCAUAUUGUCA